CCUCUGGACACCAGCCAGGCAGGUCCAGUCCCACCGACUCAUGCUGCCUGGGGGUCUCCCGGCUGUACUGGAGCCAAGCUUAUAACCCUGGGCCAUCCUUCCUCUGUCCAACCCACCUUUUCCCAAACAGAGAGAAAAACACGGACCCACACUUUCUCUGUAAUGUAACUUAAUUCCAAAUCGAGAGGUAAGAACACGAGCAAAUCAUGGUUUUUUUUUUUUUUUUUUUUUGAGGCAGAGUCUAGCUCUUGUUGCCCGGGCUAGAGUGCGAUUUCCGCCUCCUGGGUUCAAGUGACUCUCCUGCUUCAGCCUCUCAAGUAGCUGAGAUUAUAGCCGCAUGCCACCAUGCCCAGUUAGGCUAAUUUUUUUGUAUUUUCAGUAGAGACAAGGUUUUACCACGUUGGUCAGGCUGGUCUCGAACUCCUGACCUCAGGUGAUCCACCCAUCUCGGCCUCCCAAAGUGCUAGGAUCACAGACGUGAACCACCGCGCCUGGCUGCAAAUCAUGUUUAAAUUUGAAGAUAUAGCCAGCUGCAGUGUCUCAUGCCUGUGAUCCCAGCACUUUGGGAAGCAGUGGGAAGAUCACCUGAGCCCAUGAGAUUUAGGCUGCAGUGAGCCAUGAUCACACCACUGCACUCCGGCUGGGCAACAAAUUUAAAAAAAAAAGUGGAGAAACAUUAUAGAAGAGGGCCCACAGGAGGCUGUUGUGGGCCAUUUGAGGGUGAAGGUGGGGCUCCUCACAUCUCCCCUGCCCCCAUCUGCCUGGCUGAGCUCUCACCCUCCUGUCCACUGCCCAAGGGGAGGCCCACCCCACAUCCCUGGGCCACUCUGCUGGGUGCUUAGUGAGCAAAGUUACCACCUUCUGGGCUGAGGUGACUCCAGCAUUGAACGGGGUUAGUUCUCACCAUGUUCUCCAACCCACGUACGGCCAUCAGAGAGCCCAUGGAGGGCUGGACGGUGCCCCCCACCCACAGGCACAGCCACUUUGUCCUGUUCUUUCAAGCAUUCUGUGCAAAGGAGACAGAGCUGGCCAGGCCACGGAUGGUGCAGCCUAACCACGGGACACGGCUCUGUCCCGGACACAAAGCCCCAGGCUGGGCGGAUGGGGCUGGCUGCAGCCAUGGAGCCUGCUGGGAGAGGAGAUGCCAGCAGCGUGGUGUCAGGAGGAGAGUCAGGAGCUUCUAAGAAGCCAAGCAGGGGUGAGGAUAGAAGGGAGGGGCUCAGGUGGCCCAAAGGUUCCUGCUGCUGCUUCACUUCCUGCGGGAACCCUCCACAGGAGAUGAGGGAAGCCAGAAAGGAGAGCCCAGGAAGAACAAGCUGCGCAAAGGACUGGAGUCAUGUGC
rnacentral:lncRNA from 10 species